GUGAAUUAAACAUGCUUGGUGUCUUCGCUUCGGCAAGGCCCUUGCUUAAAUCACAUCCUAACACCUGUGAACUGUAAGACGUAUGAUGAGGUCUUUGGCCAAGUCAUCGUCUGCCCAUUUUAACAAACAAUUAAUGUAACAAACGUAGUCUUAUUAUAACCUAAUA
rnacentral:misc_RNA from 1 species